rnacentral:rRNA from 1 species
AGAGUUUGAUCCUGGCUCAGAAUCAACGCCGGCGGCGCGCUUAACACAUGCAAGUCGAGCGAGAAAGUGGAGCAAUCCAUGAGUAAAGCGGCGUACGGGUGAGUAACACGUGGAUGAUCUACCUUUUAGUGGGGAAUAACCUUGAGAAAUUAAGGAUAAUACCGCAUAAGCCCGCAAGGGGAAAGCAGUAAUGCGCUGGAAGAGGAGUCCGCGGCCGAUUAGCUAGUUGGUGAGGUAAUGGCUCACCAAGGCGACGAUCGGUAGCCGGCCUGAGAGGGCACACGGCCACACUGGCACUGAAAUACGGGCCAGACUCCUACGGGAGGCAGCAGUGGGGAAUCUUGCACAAUGGACGAAAGUCUGAUGCAGCGACGCCGCGUGAGCGAUGAAGCCCUUCGGGGUGUAAAGCUCUUUCGGCAGGGACGAUAAUGACGGUACCUGAAGAAGAAGCUGCGGCUAACUACGUGCCAGCAGCCGCGGUAAUACGUAGGCAGCGAGCGUUGUUCGGAAUUACUGGGCGUAAAGAGUGUGUAGGCGGUGCUCUAAGUUUGGUGUGAAAUCUCCCGGCUCAACUGGGAGGGUGCGCCGAAGACUGGAGUGCUCGAGUAUGGGAGAGGAAGCGGAAUUCCUGGUGUAGCGGUGAAAUGCGUAGAUAUCAGAGGAACACCUGUGGUGUAGACGGCUUUCUGGACCAUUACUGACGCUGAGACACGAAAGCGUGGGUAGCAAACAGGAUUAGAUACCCUGGUAGUCCACGCCCUAAACGAUGCAUACUUGGUGUCGCCAUUCAGUUGGUCGGUGCCGGAGCUAACGCGUUAAGUAU